GUAGUCGGAUUCACAUCGAUCCACGUGUGUUGAGGUGGAUUGGAGUGGAAUUUGAACUAAAUUACACCCUAAUCCACACCAACACACAUGGAUUGAAGUGAAUCCGACA
rfam:Sorghum bicolor cultivar BTx623 chromosome 6, whole genome shotgun sequence.